CCUGUACAAACUCACUAGCAAUUUGACAAAACCUCUUGGGUCCUUCUUAGGAAAGAGACAUUUCUUCGCAGUUUUCAGAGAUUUUGACCAUUAAUGCAAACUUCUUCAACCUGGAUGACUUCUGGGUGUGGAGUUCAACUUUCAAUAUUCUCCACCAUGACUGAGAAUCACAAUUCUGAGAUUUGAAAGUUCAGACAACAAGAGGUUUAGCAAACUGGAGCAGAUUGAUAUGGAAGGAGAAGGCAUGAGGAGAGAGAACAAGCUGAGAGGACAUCUUGGGAAAGAAAAAUGGAUUCUCAAUUCAAGAAAAUUCCACUAUCCAAGAAAUUAAAAAUGGAAUUCACAAACAUGGACAAUCUUUUGAAAAACUGGCUGAGAUGAUUUGCUGUUAUUGGCUUAAUACCCAAACCUAACUAUGGUGGCAUAUAAAAUCCUGCUUUAUUUCUUUAUACAAAGAAAUGUAUAGGAAUUUAUAUUCAUAUAAAUUAUCUACCAUUAUCUAUCAAGCAAAUCUUUAUAAAAAGAUAGCUUGGUAGAUGAUGGCGAGAUAGAAUCCACUACUGGCACCAAAGUACCCUAACCCUAACCCUACACUGAAGAAUAUAUACAGCAUAUACUUAUGCUGAACUGAUAAAGUCAAGAAAUUAGCCUCUGAAAUGGAAACUAAUGAUAGGCUAAAAUGAACAGAUCAUAGGCCUAGAUGGUAUUUGUCCAAGAGAAGUUCUAAAGGAAAUUAAAUGUAAAGUUGCUAGCAAAAUCAUUGUGUAAGAUAUUCCUAAAAUUGCCUCUCCAUUAUUUAAUUAAAUGAUAACCAAUGCAAUAUCUGUUUCUAAACAACUAUGUAUAAAAUUAGAGGCCAGUUAAUGAAACCUUAAGAAGAAUGAGUCUUGAAGCAUUAAAGCACCCAUGUCCUUUGGAGGACUCACGCAGCUGCUUUGAAGGGAGGGGCUGGUUUUCUGCAAUGCUUGUGCAUCCCCAGAUAACACUAGUGAAGUGAAACAACUUUGCAGACAUACUGACACCCAAGAAUAGCUAUAGCAAAUGACGGAGGAAAAGCACUUCAUUUACCGCUAUAAUUUCCAAACUUCUUUUUCAAAAAUUAAAAAUUACAGUAGAUAGGUUACUGACUUCAAAAUACAAGAAUAAGUGUUCGUUUCCUGAAAAUUUAACUAUUCUGGAUUCUCCCUUUUUCCUUAAUGUAGUAGUUAGAUUAUUUUAACCUGAUUAUAUUAUACUAAAGAGAAAUAUUACCUCCUUGGGAUUUUUUUUUUACAACUAGCUAUUUUUUUACCUCUAGCAUGUAAUUUUAAGAUUCAAAUUUAAAGGUUCAUCAAC